UGUUAGGGGGUUUCCGCCCCCUUAGUGCUGCAGUUAACGCAUUAAGCACUCCGCCUGGGGAGUACGGCCGCAAGGCUGAAACUCAAAAGAAUUGACGGGGGCCCGCACAAGCGGUGGAGGAUGUGGUUUAAUUCGAAGCAACGCGAAGAACCUUACCAGGUCUUGACAUCCUUUUGCCCUCCCUAGAGAUAGGGAUUUCCCUUCGGGGACAAAAGUGACAGGUGGUGCAUGGUUGUUGUCAGCUCGUGUCGUGAGAUGUUGGGUUAAGUCCCGUAACGAGCGCAACCCUUAAUAUUAGUUGCCAGCAUUCAGUUGGGCACUCUAAUGUGACUGCCGGUGACAAACCGGGGGAAGGUGGGGAUGACGUCAAAUCAUCAUGCCCCUUAUGACCUGGGCUACACACGUGCUACAAUGGAUGGAACAACGGGCAGCGAAGCGGCGACGCAUUAGCAAAUCCCUUAAAACCAUUCUCAGUUCGGAUUGUAGGCUGCAAUUCGCCUACAUGAAGCAGGAAUCGCUAGUAAUCGCGGAUCAGCAUGCCGCGGUGAAUACGUUCCCGGGCCUUGUACACACCGCCCGUCAAUCAC
rnacentral:rRNA from 1 species